GUGCCAGCAGCCGCGGUAAUACGUAGGGUGCAAGCGUUAUCCGGAAUUAUUGGGCGUAAAGCGAUCACAGGUGGACAAGUAGGUCUGGUGUUAAAUACCCACGGCUCAACCGGGGUGCCGCAUCGGAAACCGCUUGACUAGAGGAAGGCAAAGGCAGGUGGAAUUUCCAUUGUAGGGGUUAAAUCCGUAGAUAAUGGAAGGAACACCAAAAGCGAAGGCAGCCUGCUGGGCCUUUCCUGACACUGCUUGAUCGAAAGCGUGGGGAGCAAAAGGGAUUAGAAACCCCCGUAGUCC
rnacentral:rRNA from 1 species